rnacentral:rRNA from 1 species
UACGUAGGGUGCAAGCGUUAAUCGGAAUUACUGGCGUAAAGCGUGCGCAGGCGGUGAUGUAAGACAGGUGUGAAAUCCCCGGCUUAACCUGGGAACUGCAUUUGUGACUGCAUCGCUGGAGUGCGGCAGAGGGGAUGGAAUUCCGCGUGUAGCAGUGAAAUGCGUAGAUAUGCGGAGGAACACCGAUGCGAAGGCAAUCC